rnacentral:rRNA from 1 species
UAGGGAAUCUUCCGCAAUGGACGCAAGUCUGACGGAGCAACGCCGCGUGAGUGAAGAAGGAUUUCGGUUCGUAAAACUCUGUUGUUAGAGAAGAACAGCGCAUAGAGUAACUGUUAUGCGUGUGACGGUAUCUAACCAGAAAGCCACGGCUAACUACGUGCCAGCAGCCGCGGUAAUACGUAGGUGGCAAGCGUUGUCCGGAUUUAUUGGGCGUAAAGCGAGCGCAGGCGGUUAGAUAAGUCUGAAGUUAAAGGCAGUGGCUCAACCAUUGUAGGCUUUGGAAACUGUUUAACUUGAGUGCAGAAGGGGAGAGUGGAAUUCCAUGUGUAGCGGUGAAAUGCGUAGAUAUAUGGAGGAACACCGGUGGCGAAAGCGACUCUCUGGUCUGUAACUGACGCUGAGGCUCGAAAGCGUGGGUAGCAAACAGG